CAGUCGCCGCGGUAAUACGAAGGGUGCAAGCGUUAAUCGGAAUUACUGGGCGUAAAGCGUGCGUAGGCGGUGAGUUAAGUCUGCUGUGAAAUCCCCGGGCUCAACCUGGGAAUGGCAGUGGAUACUGGCUCGCUAGAGUGUGUCAGAGGAUGGUGGAAUUCCCGGUGUAGCGGUGAAAUGCGUAGAGAUCGGGAGGAACAUCAGUGGCGAAGGCGGCCAUCUGGGACAACACUGACGCUGAGGCACGAAAGCGUGUGGAGCAAACAGGAUUAGAUACCCCAGUAGUCCCUGUCUCUUAUAC
rnacentral:rRNA from 1 species